ACGGCUCAGUAACACGUAGUUAAUCUGCCCUUAGGUCUAGAAUAACCUCGGGAAACUGAGGCUAAUACUGGAUAGGGGAAAAGUUCUGGAACGAACUUUCCCUUAAAGAUUACGCCUAAGGAUGAGACUGCGGAUGAUUAGCUUGUUGGUGGGGUAAAAGCCUACCAAGGCGAUGAUCAUUACGGGCUCUUAGCGGAGUUGCCCGGAGAAGGAAUCUGAGACACUAUUCCUAGCUCUACGGAGUGCAGCAGUCGCGAAUCAUUUACAAUGCACGAAAGUGUGAUAAUGCGAACCAAAGUGUUUUUCGUAUAGAAAAACUUUUUCUUAAUGUAAAAAUUUAGGAGAAUAAGGACUGGGAAAGACUGGUGCCAGCCGCCGCGGUAAUACCAGCAGUUCAAGUCGCAUCCCUUUUUAUUGGGUCUAAAACAUCCGUAGCUUGCCGUAUAAGUCUCUUGUGAAAUCCCACGUCUCAAGCGUGGGGCUUGCAGGAGAUACUGUGCGGCUAGAGAUCGGUAGACGUAAGCAGUACGCCGGAGGUAAUGGUAAAAUAUGUUAAUCUUCGGUGGACUAACAAUGAGCGAAGGCAGCUUACGAGGACGAAUCUGACAGUCAGGGAUGAAGGCCAGGGGCGCAAAACGGAUUAGAUACCCGUGUAGUCCUGGCAGUAAACACUGUUCACUAAACAUCGGGCCCUCUUCGGGAGGAUUCGGUGCUGAAGCGAAGGCGAAGAGUGAACUACCUGGGAAGUAUAGUCGCAAGAUCGAAACUUAAAGGAAUUGGCGGGGGAGCAC
rnacentral:rRNA from 1 species